rnacentral:rRNA from 1 species
UACGAAGGGUGCAAGCGUUACUCGGAAUUACUGGGCGUAAAGCGUGCGUAGGUGGUUCGUUAAGUCAGGAGUGAAAGUUUGCGGCUCAACCGUAAAAUUGCUUUUGAUACUGCAUGGCUGGAAUUAGGAUGAGGUCAGCGGAAUGUGGCAUGUAGCGGUGAAAUGCAUAGAUAUGCCAUAGAACACCAAUUGCGAAGGCAGCUGGCUAGACCUGGAUUGACGCUGAGGCACGAAAGCGUGGGGAUCAAACAGG